UCCUCUGGGAGGUGACGUGGGAGUCCGGGGGUCCCCUCUGCCCAGGGGUGCCCCUGGCAUGCCUGCACAGGGACACAGGGGACAACUCUGCUGGGGCUGGAUGCUUUAGAGCUUUCACCCUUUCAGCCUCUUCAUCUGAGUUCUCAGCACAGGGCUGUGAGGAUGGAAGUUCAAAUGUCAGCUUUCUGGGGUCAGGGACCCAUCUGGGGGCCUACACCAGUUUUGUGCACGGUCAGUUAUAAAGAGGAAUGGUGAUCAGCUGAAGAUGAAAGAAAAUCUCUCUUAGAGACUGCUGGUCUGAAAAGAAGCACACUGCUCACAGCACUAUUUUCCAUCUAUCUGGGUGCUGCAGGUGCAGAAGGCUGGUGAAAAUUCUGCACAUAAUUCUUCUGUAGUCCCACAGAGCUGUGCUAAAACCUCCAGGUCUGGUGAGCCCUGGAUGAGCCGGUCGGGGAGGACUGAAGGAGGGGACAAGCUAGACAUGCAAACCUUCACGGAGAGAGCUUCAGAGCUGCCAGGAGCCAUGAGAGAGUUCAGACUGAGAUCUGGAGAUAGCAAAGCCAGGUUCUAAAGUGGCAGAAGGAGAGUGCUCCAGUCCUGCUGCUAGACCUGUCUGCAAGCCGUGGCAUCUCGCGUACAGGAGUGUGAAGAACGAGUGGAGCGUUAAAUAAGGACGUGGAUAAGUGUGGCAAUUCCCUGCUGACUGCCAGGACAGCCUGCAGAGCGGGCACUGAGGACAGCCUCUCUUCCCCUCCAGAUUUUGCUGUGCCAUCCUUUGUCAAACGUGAAAAAGAAUCAAAAUGUGAAUAAAAGCACAACUUCCAGCAAAUAUUUGGGAUGAUCCUGUGGAACUGUAGCUAUAUCACAGCUAAUAUGACUCUCAAUGUCCUCCUGUUGCCCUCAAUGUUCUGUCUGUAGGAUUCUUAAGUCCAAAUCCUUUGCCUGUACAGUGGCCACUCUUGACUCA